AUGCAGUCGAACGAGCGAGAGAGAGCUUGCUUUCUCAAGCGAGUGGCGAACGGGUGAGUAACGCGUGAGGAACCUGCCUCAAAGAGGGGGACAACAGUUGGAAACGACUGCUAAUACCGCAUAAGCCCACGACCCGGCAUCGGGUAGAGGGAAAAGGAGCAAUCCGCUUUGAGAUGGCCUCGCGUCCGAUUAGCUAGUUGGUGAGGUAAUGGCCCACCAAGGCGACGAUCGGUAGCCGGACUGAGAGGUUGAACGGCCACAUUGGGACUGAGACACGGCCCAGACUCCUACGGGAGGCAGCAGUGGGGAAUAUUGCACAAUGGGGGAAACCCUGAUGCAGCGACGCCGCGUGGAGGAAGAAGGUCUUCGGAUUGUAAACUCCUGUUGUUGAGGAAGAUAAUGACGGUACUCAACAAGGAAGUGACGGCUAACUACGUGCCAGCAGCCGCGGUAAAACGUAGGUCACAAGCGUUGUCCGGAAUUACUGGGUGUAAAGGGAGCGCAGGCGGGAAGACAAGUUGGAAGUGAAAUCCAUGGGCUCAACCCAUGAACUGCUUUCAAAACUGUUUUUCUUGAGUA
rnacentral:rRNA from 1 species